UACGUAGGGGCCGAGCGUUGUCCGGAUUUAUUGGGCGUAAAGCGCGCGCAGGCGGCUUGACGCGCCCGACGUGAAAGCCCCCGGCUUAACCGGGGAGGGGCGUCGGGUACGGUCAGGCUUGAGGGCGGGAGAGGGUGGUGGAAUUCCCGGUGUAGUGGUGAAAUACGUAGAGAUUGGGAAGAACACCAGUGGCGAAGGCGGCUAUCUGGACGGUUACUGACACUAAGACUCGAAAGCGUGGGGAGCAAACAGG
rnacentral:rRNA from 1 species